rnacentral:misc_RNA from 1 species
GGUUAGGGCAGGGGAACUUCACUCUCGCUCUCCACUCUCUCAGCAGCCACCAACUCUUGAAUCUUGCACCAUUUCUAACGAUGUGUUACGGUCAUCAACGCUCCUUAUCUCCUGACGACUUAAUCCCCUCGCGAAACCCCCGAUCCCAAAACGACAACACAUCUGUCGUAGAAGAUCUACGGGGCCGCCUUGCCGAGACCGAGGCUCGCCUUGAACGGGCCAGGGCUCGAGAAGCCGAGCUCAGUCGCCGACUUGAGGAAAUGAAGCGAUUCGUCUCCGUUAUGGAGAUCCUCGAGAACUACCUCAAGCGAAGGUAUCAAGAGCAGCAAGAUAACGUCGCUAGCCUUUUCUCUUCUCUACCUGCUAAAUAGCUUUUAAUUCUCGGUGAUUUUAGCGUUUACCCCUUCUUGUUUAUAGUUUUUUCUUUCUUUUUCAUUUGAGUGAAAUCUGAGUUUUUUUUCUCCCGUUAAUUGUGUUGUGAUUUUGUGUUGUUUGAUAGUUAUGUGAAAAUUAUUACUAUCAAUUAUAAAAGCACACAGAUUUAGAAGGGUUUCUUUUUGUUCGUCUAUGUGAUUUAUGAUUCUUCUCACCUCUCAGGGCCUUGAAUUUCGUCUAGAUUUCAAUUUUUAGAAACCCUGAUAAUUUCCCCAGCUUUUGAGGUAAAACUGCUAUCCUGUCAUUCGUUCUUAGGGUUUCUUAAAAGGGAAAUGCUAUGAACUCGUGUUUAUCUUUCAGCAGAACCAAACAAGAAUUUUUAGCCGGCUCGAUUACACUUGAAAAAUAAAUUGUGACCAUGAGAUUUUUGAAACUAGAGACUGCAGUUCCUUCAAUUUGGAGUCCAACAAGGCUGAAUGGUGAAAAAAAGGAUCAUAUGGCCCAACUAUCAUAUAGACAAACUAGUUAGGUUAAGGCUUAGUUGUUGUUGUUGUAAUCUUCUACAGCAACUUUGUUAAAUGAAGCACUGAGCUUGAGGAUGAUAGAAGAAGAGCAAAUGUGAUUCAUUUGGUGAAUAAAUGUUAAAGUAUAGAUGAUAGAUGCUAACUAUAUAGUGUAUUGUGCUUGUGUUCAAGUCAUCAAUUGUAGCUUUAGCUUUGUUAGAAAAAUGCUGUUCAUGAAUCUGUUAGAAAGGCUACACGAGGAUUUUGGCAUUGGAAAGGACAUUGAGAUCUCCUAUGCACACCCCUGAUUAUUUAAGACUAAUGUUUCAGGGUUUCUUAUUACUAUUAGAGGUACUCCACUCCAGUGCUCUUUUGUGGUGAUCAAAGAUCAUAGCCACUUGAGAUAUUCAAGGAAAUUUAACAAAUUUCAAGUUUUCCUUCUCAAAUGGUUUUUUGAUUGGGAAAUGGGUUUUAGCGUUUAACGGAUUGCAGUCAUUCACAUAGUUAUUUGCAAUCACUUAUAUCUACGUUGCAAUUGAAAGAUUGGCUUGUAAUUAGUAUCUGCUUGUGUUGAAUAUUGGAGGGUGGCAUACUGGAUUUGAUGCAUGUGUAUAAUUUGUUGGCAAUAUUAAUUCAAUUGAUAGAACUUUUUACUUUUUAUAUAGCGUUAAGCUAUAGUGGGGAUUUGGGACAAUUAGAUCAAUUCUUAAGGCACAAUUGUGUGUUUGCACAUGCCUCUAUGCGCGUGUUAAAGGAUGAU